AUGCGGGACACGGCGGGCAGGGCAGGGGAGGCGGGGGCAGGACCGGCACAGCCGCCACGGCGCUCCCCCCCCGGCGGCCUCCUGUACCGGCCAGCCCGGACUGACCACCCGGGGGGCGCUUUAGGGCGGCCAAAAGGGCAGCGAGGCCGCCGCCCCCCCAACUCACCGCUCCCCGCCUCAGGGCGCGGCGGGACCCCGGGGACGGCCUUCCCCACCGGAGGCACCCCGGGCCGCGGCCCCACCGCCGCCCGGAGGCCCCGCCGGCUGCAGCGGCGGCCAACCCUCCCCGGGGAGCGCAGGAAAGCGCCACUCCCGGCCCCCCGCCGGGAAACGCUCCCUCCCGGCCGGCAGCGGCUUCCCCGAGCUGCGCCCGGCCCCGGCGGGCGAGGUCUUCCCCGGUGCGCCCGCCUCCUCCGCAGGGGGAAGAACCGAGCCGGACCGCGGGCGCCCGCUCACCCUCGCCCCGGGGCCGCCGCCGCCGCCCGGCCCGGCAACGAGCGCUCCUCCAUCGGGGCUGCCGGCGGCGGGGCCGCCCCCUCGCCUCACCUCAGGGCACGGCGGGGCCCCAGCCGCCCCCUCGCCUCACGGCGCCUCGCGCUCCCCCCACCUCAGGGCGCGGCGGGACCCCGCACCGCUCGCGCGCCGCCACGCUCCCCCCCCCCUUCUCCUCACAGCUCCCCCCCCCCGCCUCACCUCAGGGCGCGGCGGGCCGGCGGUCGGCUCGGCCCGGCGCCAAGAGAGCGAGGCGGCCGCUGCCUCCUCCGCCGGAGGCACCCUCGGCUCCGGCGCCUCAGGCGCAGCCUCCCGGCCCGGGGAAAGCGGCGGCCCGGCUUCCCCCUCCCCGCCCCAGCCUCUCCCGCACCCCCGCUGCGCCGCCGCUCUCCGCCGUGCGCGCCGCCUCGGGGCGCCGCUCCCCGCGCCAGGCCCCGGCUUCCCUCCUUCCCGGCCUGCCCCGGCGCCGCCGUCCCCGGGCCCCCCUCCCCCGGCCGGGCUGCGCCUGCGCGGCGGCCCCUCUCCCCAUCCGGGUCCCUCCGUGCGGUGUAG
rnacentral:lncRNA from 1 species